rnacentral:rRNA from 2 species
CGAACUCUGGUAUUGAUUGGUGCUUGCAUCAUGAUUUACAUUUGAGUGAGUGGCGAACUGGUGAGUAACACGUGGGAAACCUGCCCAGAAGCGGGGGAUAACACCUGGAAACAGAUGCUAAUACCGCAUAACAACUUGGACCGCAUGGUCCGAGUUUGAAAGAUGGCUUCGGCUAUCACUUUUGGAUGGUCCCGCGGCGUAUUAGCUAGAUGGUGGGGUAACGGCUCACCAUGGCAAUGAUACGUAGCCGACCUGAGAGGGUAAUCGGCCACAUUGGGACUGAGACACGGCCCAAACUCCUACGGGAGGCAGCAGUAGGGAAUCUUCCACAAUGGACGAAAGUCUGAUGGAGCAACGCCGCGUGAGUGAAGAAGGGUUUCGGCUCGUAAAACUCUGUUGUUAAAGAAGAACAUAUCUGAGAGUAACUGUUCAGGUAUUGACGGUAUUUAACCAGAAAGCCACGGCUAACUACGUGCCAGCAGCCGCGGUAAUACGUAGGUGGCAAGCGUUGUCCGGAUUUAUUGGGCGUAAAGCGAGCGCAGGCGGUUUUUUAAGUCUGAUGUGAAAGCCUUCGGCUCAACCGAAGAAGUGCAUCGGAAACUGGGAAACUUGAGUGCAGAAGAGGACAGUGGAACUCCAUGUGUAGCGGUGAAAUGCGUAGAUAUAUGGAAGAACACCAGUGGCGAAGGCGGCUGUCUGGUCUGUAACUGACGCUGAGGCUCGAAAGUAUGGGUAGCAAACAGGAUUAGAUACCCUGGUAGUCCAUACCGUAAACGAUGAAUGCUAAGUGUUGGAGGGUUUCCGCCCUUCAGUGCUGCAGCUAACGCAUUAAGCAUUCCGCCUGGGGAGUACGGCCGCAAGGCUGAAACUCAAAGGAAUUGACGGGGGCCCGCACAAGCGGUGGAGCAUGUGGUUUAAUUCGAAGCUACGCGAAGAACCUUACCAGGUCUUGACAUACUAUGCAAAUCUAAGAGAUUAGACGUUCCCUUCGGGGACAUGGAUACAGGUGGUGCAUGGUUGUCGUCAGCUCGUGUCGUGAGAUGUUGGGUUAAGUCCCGCAACGAGCGCAACCCUUAUUAUCAGUUGCCAGCAUUAAGUUGGGCACUCUGGUGAGACUGCCGGUGACAAACCGGAGGAAGGUGGGGAUGACGUCAAAUCAUCAUGCCCCUUAUGACCUGGGCUACACACGUGCUACAAUGGAUGGUACAACGAGUUGCGAACUCGCGAGAGUAAGCUAAUCUCUUAAAGCCAUUCUCAGUUCGGAUUGUAGGCUGCAACUCGCCUACAUGAAGUCGGAAUCGCUAGUAAUCGCGGAUCAGCAUGCCGCGGUGAAUACGUUCCCGGGCCUUGUACACACCGCCCGUCACACCAUGAGAGUUUGUAACACCCAAAGUC